AAAUUCCCAUUUUUUUAAAAAGAAGACCCUCUCCAAGUCCCACCCGCAUAAGAAAAUCACUAGUAACCUAGAAGUCGAGGACUAAUAUUCCAUCAGAGGGAGAUAUCAAGCAAGUAUCAGCGACGUCCAUGACAAAGUAUUUAGGGUCUUGAUGAGAUUGAGUUGUUUUUAAGGGUAGAGUUUCCAAGGCUUUCAAGAAGUGAAGAUUGGUUCGGGACAUUAAAGGGUAUGAGGCCACUUUGAAGGAAGGCUUGGACAUAUUUCCCAAGGGUCUUGAGGAGAUUGAGUUUCUUUAAUGGGUAGAGUUUCCAAGGCUUUCAAGAAGUGAAGAUUGGUGAGUCCUCAUAGCAUCCGAGGACACCCAUUAUAAUGUCUUUUAUGUUCUUUUCUCUGUUUAGACUUUAAUGGGUUGUGACCCCAGACUAUUGUAUUCAUGAUGUCAUAGAUGGUUUUUGAGACAUAUGUUAGAAGUUUUAUG